rfam:Schistosoma mansoni strain Puerto Rico chromosome 5, complete genome
AUCCAGCUGAUGAGUUUCAAAUAGGACGAAAUGCACUUGCUGGAU